rnacentral:lncRNA from 1 species
CUAAUAUUUACCAGUCUUUCUUACUCCAUUCUGUUCUUUUUUGUUUAAGCUUUCCCAUCAUUCUUUUCCCCCUACCCUUCUUGUCUGCCAAAAACUAUCCACAUAAGCCCUUGGUUGUACAUUUUAUUUUAUGACUGAUGACAACCAUACCCAAGAGAUUUCAGCACAUAGGCUCUUGUUCCCAACAAACCUAGAGCACUUGAAUUUCACACAAUUUAAGGAUUUGAAGAGAUGCUAUUUUACAUUCGCCCUCCCAGCUGCUAGAGUACCUGCCAGGUUCGUGUUGGGAGCCAUGUUUGGCAGUGAGGCACUGGCACAGGUUGCCCAGAACAGCUGUGGAUGCCCCAUUCCUGAAGGAUGAGAACUGUUCGUUCUAUUUUGUGAUAUUAUCUCAUUUCACUGCAUUAUUCAUUGUUCUAGACCAUGAGCCACAUGUGAACCCUAAUUUAAAAAGACUAAAGCAAUAUGAAACUUAAAACUCUGGUGUGAAUACAUCUUAGAGCUGCCCACUCAUGACAGCA